rnacentral:lncRNA from 1 species
UGUUGAAUGUGUUGGCUUCAGCCUGGGCUGACUUUCCUCUAGGAUGCAGCAUAGCUGCUAACGGCAUUUAGGCCACCCUUAGCUUCUGCCAGGAGACAAGUGCUGCUUCCAGCAGCUCCCCAGGAUAGGAGGGAGGAACCUUCUCAGAAACCCCAGCAAACCUCUCCAGAGGUUUGAGACAAAUAGGGCUGGAGGUAGGAAUGCAGUCACUUUGCCUUGUUCACAGGUGCUAUGUGUGUGAAAGGGAACACCUGGAUAGAAUUGAUUGUUCUUUUCUAAUUAUAUACUUUUAUUUAUGUAGGCCGCACUGGGUCUUCAAUGCUGCACAUGGGCUUUCUCUAGUUGCCGCGAGCAAGGGCUACUCUUCGUUGCAAUGCGUGGGCUUCUUAUUGCGAUGGCUUCUCUUGUGGAGCAUGGGCUCUAAAGUGUGCAGGCUUCAGUAAUUGUGGCACACGGGCUUAGUUGUUCCAUGGCAUGUGGGAUCUUCCUGAACCAGGGAUUGAACCUGUGUCACCUGCAUUGAAGGACAGAUUCUUAACCACUGGGAAGUCCUGGAAUUCUCAUCCAGAAAAGUCCUGAAUUGGUGGUUUAGGAAAGAGCCAGAGAGCAAGAGAUGUUGGCUGGAGAGAGAGACCCGGAACCUGGUGCUCCAACCAAAUGCUGUAGCUGGGACCAUCCAUCUUGGAGAAGCGGUCCAGGCCAACUGGAAAGUGUCCAGAGGUGCCACAGCCACGCUGAGUCCAAGGAAACAGUGCCGAGCAUCCAGAGUCACAGGGGCAGCAGCCAAGAAGAUGGUUCCCGAGGUUCACCUUUGCCUGGCCUCGUUUCCCACUGCGCCCUGGUUUGUGCCUUCUGCUCACACUGGAUGCUGCCUUGCCUUUCAGUUUCAGUGGAGACUUCCAUAGCAGCAGCAGCAGCAGCAGCAGCAGCAGUCACCCUGGUGUGUCAAACCCAGCCUCCAUCUUCCUGUGGCCACUGUCUUCAAAUCCAGGUUCAAGUACACCUGAGGGUCUACAGACUUUCAAGGGGGUAAAUGUUGAUGAAUGAUCUAAAGAGAAUCCGCUUCCAGAAUGUUAACUUCCAAGUACAGAUUUCUAAAACCAUUUCAUGAAAUUUCCCAUGUUCCCCUCACCCAUUGCAAUUUCACGUGGAGCUUUGCACUGGGAUCUAAAAAACCUCCUCAAGCCAGAAAAAAAAGGGGAGAUUGAGUAUUAGUUUCUGGGGAGCUUCUUUAAUGAUUCAUCAAGGCAUCUUUGCCCCUUAGGGCUUUCUGUCCUUCCCUGUCUUGUACGUAUUUCUGUUAAGCAUGGCCCACAUUGAGAUGCUCUAAAUUUAGAACAACUAAAGCAGGAUAGGUUAGAGGUGCUAAAUUUUUUACAUGAUUUCUUUCAGAUUC